AUUUAGGCAUUGAAGUAACUUUAUCAGUCGUGAAUACAAUUGAAGUUGAUAUCGAAUGUUUAUUAUUUGAAAAUGUAUUUCAAGCGAAAUUUUAGACGAUUUAUGAUUAGUUUUACGGAACAUUGUUCUUAAGUGUAGUUCAUAUAUCUAAACGCAAGUAAAUAGAUUUGAAGUGUACGAAAAGUUGACUAUAAAUAUGACGUCCUCUGAACUUUUAGAAAUAGUUUGGUCUGAUGAAAGUUUGAAUUAUGUUUCACCGGAUCAUGAUCACUUAUCUUUCUACGAAAGUCCUGCUCCAAGUCCAUAUAUUUCACACCAUUAUGGAACUAUGUCAUCAUAUUUCAAACAACCUUAUAUGGACCAUCACUUUCCAGAACUAAGCAAACCAUACCAGAAUAUGUGGAAGCUUGUUAGCAAACGUGAACUAUCGCACAUCAUUACGAGACUGAGGAGAAGUACACUUUCUUCUCGUUCCAGACAGAAAAGACCACACAGUGAACAUAUUGGUGACUACGUCAAACAAGAGGACCAACGCAAAUUAUGUAUGACUCCAAACGGCCCGAAAGAAUUCCGAAGCUUUCGCUGAGAUUUUAAUGUUUAGCGUCGGUGCUUAUAAAUAUUUGCAAUAACAAUUAAUUUCAAUUAUUCAAACAUUUGUGUUUGCCUGUGAUUUUAUGGAAAGAAAUAAAUCAUUCAUUGUAUUUAUAAACAGAAGUAUCAUCAUUUCCAUGAGUGCAAUGUUUUCCCCAAGCAUAUAUAUGUAGCAGUUGUAUAGUUCGUUUCAUACUAGUCCAUACAAGGUAUCAUUAACUGUGUUACAUUGUAAAACUGCAGAUUUCGUAUCAUUUAAAAAAUAAAACAAGGAGU